GUUACAGCAGCCGCGGUAAUACGAAGGGUGCAAGCGUUAUCCGGAUUCACUGGGUUUAAAGGGUGCGUAGGUGGGCAGGUAAGUCAGUGGUGAAAUCUCCGGGCUUAACCCGGAAACUGCCAUUGAUACUAUCUGUCUUGAAUACCGUGGAGGUGAGCGGAAUAUGUCAUGUAGCGGUGAAAUGCUUAGAUAUGACGUAGAACACCAAUUGCGAAGGCAGCUCACUACGCGAAUAUUGACACUGAGGCACGAAAGCGUGGGGAUCAAACAGGAUUAGAUACCCCCGUAGUCC
rnacentral:rRNA from 1 species